rnacentral:lncRNA from 1 species
UUGAUAUGUGACUGCCGGAUGCGUUGAAAGCGUUGAAGAGCUGAAGUCCAUCGCCAAGAGCCUCAGUAGAGGUACUUCAUUGUGGAAAGUAGAUUAGUGAUGUAUCGAUGGCCGCUCAUCGUGAUGCUUUUGUCGGAGUGUGAUCGAUCGUCUAAGAUUUCUAAUCAGGGAGAGACACCGGCAUCGUGUCACAUGGAAAAGUGUAUCACCCAUGUAAGAGUCUAUGAUCUAAAUACAUCCGAUGGUAUUUCGACUCAGGGAGGGACACCGGCAUUUCCCAUGAAAAAGUGCAACC